CUAUGGCUUAGGCCAUGGCAGAAGGAG
rnacentral:ncRNA from 1 species